AUUGAACGCUGGCGGCAUGCCUUACACAUGCAAGUCGAACGGCAGCACGGGUGCUUGCACCUGGUGGCGAGUGGCGAACGGGUGAGUAAUACAUCGGAACGUACCUUAUCGGGGGGGAUAACGCAGCGAAAGUUGCGCUAAUACCGCAUACGCCCUGAGGGGGAAAGCGGGGGACCGUAAGGCCUCGCGCGAUUAGAGCGGCCGAUGUCUGAUUAGCUUGUUGGUGAGGUAAAAGCUCACCAAGGCGAUGACCAGUAGCUGGUCUGAGAGGACGAUCAGCCACACUGGGACUGAGACACGGCCCAGACUCCUACGGGAGGCAGCAGUGGGGAAUUUUGGACAAUGGGGGCAACCCUGAUCCAGCAAUGCCGCGUGAGUGAAGAAGGCCUUCGGGUUGUAAAGCUCUUUUGUCAGGGAAGAAACAGCAGCUCUAACACAGUCUACGAAUGACGGUACCUGAAGAAUAAGCACCGGCUAACUACGUGCCAGCCGCCGCAGUAA
rnacentral:rRNA from 1 species